rnacentral:lncRNA from 1 species
UGACCUGGUUGCUGCUGACCACAGUGCAUUGGGGUGUGCCAUCAGAUCCCAACCUGAACCAGAGCUGCAUGGAGCCCAAGAGGAUUACAACAUCCAAAGUCAACCCGAGCGGUGGAAGCUAGCUAUUAGCUAAUGCAACCUCACCACUUCCUCUGCGAAUCCCUGAUUCACAGCAAAGGAAAAGACAGCACAACAGAGCCCCAAGCAAUUUGCUGUAAGGCUGCUCCAACGCCCAGCUCCCAGCCCACGCUGAUCCAUCACGCUGCACCCGAACGGACUGCGUGCAUCACCCAGCACUGCUGCAAUGGCUCUAGCAGCAGGAUGCAUUAGCAUUCCUGGUAAUGGAGACCAAGGGGCACGGUGGGGAGGAGAUGCUGCUAUAAUGGACAAGGGAUGCAGCAGUCUGGCUGUAGCAAUUAAAAGGGAUCUUGUCCUAAAUCUUGAAAAGACACCCAUUGUGAAGCAACCCCAGGAGCCGAGUCUGACCCUUCAAAAUAACCCACAGCAAGAAGAGCAGUGUCAAAACCCAACACUAGAUGCCAGCAGAUAUUGCAGAAGCGCAUCUACGAAGGUCAGCUGGAGAAAUGCAGCAAAACCACUGAGCUUCCUGUGAGCUUCUCAUAUGACUUUUCCCAAG